rnacentral:rRNA from 1 species
UACGUAUGGUGCAAGCGUUAUCCGGAUUUACUGGGUGUAAAGGGAGCGUAGACGGCGAUGCAAGUCUGAAGUGAAAGCCCGGGGCUCAACCCUGGAACUGCUUUGGAAACUGUGUUGCUAGAGUGCAGGAGAGGUAAGUGGAAUUCCUAGUGUAGCGGUGAAAUGCGUAGAUAUUAGGAGGAACACCAGUGGCGAAGGCGGCUUACUGGACUGUAACUGACGUUGAGGCUCGAAAGCGUGGGGAGCAAACAGG